CCUACGGGAGUCAGCAGUGGGGAAUAUUGCACAAUGGGGGAAACCCUGAUGCAGCGACGCCGCGUGAGUGAAGAAGUAUUUGGGUAUGUAAAGCUCUAUCAGCAGGGAAGAAAUAGCGACCUUUGGGUCGCCAGACGGUACCUGACUAAGAAGCCCCGGCGAAAUACGUGCCAGCAGCCGCGGUCAUACGUAGGGGGCAAGCGUUAUCCGGAUUUACUGGGUGUAAAGGGAGCGUAGCCGGCAGCAAAAGUCUGAAGGGAAAGGCCGGGGCUUAACCCCGGAACUGCUGUGGAAACUGUGCAGCUAGAGUGCAGGAGAGGUAAGUGGAAUUCCUAGUGUAGCGGUGAAAUGCGUAGAUAUUAGGAGGAACACCAGUGGCGAAGGCGGCUUACUGGACUGUAACUGACGUUGAGGCUCGAAAGCGUGGGGAGCAAACAGGAUUAGAUACCCGUGUAGUC
rnacentral:rRNA from 1 species